GACGAACGCUGGCGGCGUGCUUAACACAUGCAAGUCGAGCGGAAAGGCCCUUCGGGGUACUCGAGCGGCGAACGGGUGAGUAACACGUGAGUAAUCUGCCUCUAGCUCUGGGAUACGCUCCGGGAAACCGGGAUUAAUACCGGAUACGACCACUCAAGACAUCUUCUGUGGUGGAAAGUAAUUUCGGCUAGAGAUGAGCUCGCGGCUAUCAGCUUGUUGGUGGGGUAACGCCACCAAGGCGACGACGGGUAGCCGGCCUGAGAGGCGACCGGCCACACUGGGACUGAGACACGGCCCAGACUCCUACGGGAGGCAGC
rnacentral:rRNA from 1 species